GACUGACUGGCUGGGGUGUCCACACAGCCCUUUCCCGAAAGGCCCCCUUGGUUUUCCCGGCUCUCAGCAGCAGCAGUCCUCCUCGACCACCUAUCUUCUGUCCACGAAGGGUGGUUGCACUGAGGCUGUGACCAGCUGUUCUCCGUUUCCUGGGGACAAGCAGAGCUCAGGCCACAGUGUACAGCCAUGCUAGAGAGAGGCCAAAGGGAAAACAGCCCGCCUGGAUUGUUUGGGCUGCAGUGAAGCCUCCGGCUCUGAAGGUCUUUCACAAACAGGACAGAGUUUCAUCUUUCUGGAAUGUUUCAGGGACUGAACUUGUACUGGGGUCUGUUGCUGUGUGCAGCUUUGGAGCAGGGAGAGAGGAGAGAUAAGGCUCUUGACAGGUGCUCGUCCUGGCAGCCACUCUGCCUCUCCCUGAUCCUGCCCCCCUCUGCUUCCCAGAGACGUGCCCCCACUUCUGGCGAAUGUGGCUUUCUAGGAAGGCAAGGUCCACCUCCUGGCUUUCCACCUUGCUCUGCCAACAGCUCUGCAGGUCUGUCUGCCAUGUGAGGCACAGGUUCAUCAGCUCCUUUUCUGACUUGGGAACUGCAUCUCCACCUGUCGGGGGAAGAACAGAGAUGUGUACGGUGUCCUGCAGAUGGAGGGAUUGAGGGCAGCCCCGCAGAAGGAUCUUCAGAGCUGCUUAUUAAUAGGAAGGUCUCCAAUAAUGGCCCUGCUUUCCAGUCCUGACCCUCUCAGUUCUUAGCUGCAACAACUCCUGAUACCCCAGCCAGAGAUCCAAGCCUUCAGUUCUCCCAUCAGCACCCCUUGUUGGUGGCCAGCUUUCUGGACCACCUCUUUGGGAUUCUUCUUGGAACACUGUAUGCCUCAAGGGCUGUCUUGAAUACUAGCCACAGGAUACAUGCUGGAGUCGGCAGUGAGUCCUUGAGAUUCAAGAAUGAAACCACAAGCUGCUCCUGUAUCUGCUCUUGUCUGCAGUGUCAGCGUUCUGAGUCGCCUCUCUGGCUCAAUUGCCCAAAGCACUUAGCACAUGGGGGAAUAUUUUCUGAUGACAAUGACUUCUCCUCUGUAGAUAACAUCUGUGUUAAUAAACUCUUU